GAUCAUGGCUCAGGAUGAACGCUAGCUACAGGCUUAACACAUGCAAGUCGAACGAAGCUGCUUAACUGAUCUUCUUCGGAAUUGACGUUUUGUAGACUGAGUGGCGGACGGGUGAGUAACGCGUGGGUAACCUGCCCUGUACAGGGGGAUAACAGUCAGAAAUGACUGCUAAUACCGCAUAAGACCACAGCACCGCAUGGUGCAGGGGUAAAAACUCCGGUGGUACAGGAUGGACCCGCGU
rnacentral:rRNA from 1 species